AAGGUAACGGCUUACCAAGGCAACGAUGCAUAGCCGACCUGAGAGGGUGAUCGGCCACACUGGAACUGAGACACGGUCCAGACUCCUACGGGAGGCAGCAGUAGGGAAUCUUCCGCAAUGGGCGAAAGCCUGACGGAGCAACGCCGCGUGAGUGAUGAAGGUCUUCGGAUCGUAAAACUCUGUUAUUAGGGAAGAACAUAUGUGUAAGUAACUGUGCACAUCUUGACGGUACCUAAUCAGAAAGCCACGGCUAACUACGUGCCAGCAGCCGCGGUAAUACGUAGGUGGCAAGCGUUAUCCGGAAUUAUUGGGCGUAAAGCGCGCGUAGGCGGUUUUUUAAGUCUGAUGUGAAAGCCCACGGCUCAACCGUGGAGGGUCAUUGGAAACUGGAAAACUUGAGUGCAGAAGAGGAAAGUGGAAUUCCAUGUGUAGCGGUGAAAUGCGCAGAGAUAUGGAGGAACACCAGUGGCGAAGGCGACUUUCUGGUCUGUAACUGACGCUGAUGUGCGAAAGCGUGGGGAUCAAACAGGAUUAGAUACCCUGGUAGUCCACGCCGUAAACGAUGAGUGCUAAGUGUUAGGGGGUUUCCGCCCCUUAGUGCUGCAGCUAACGCAUUAAGCA
rnacentral:rRNA from 1 species